UGCUGCGCAGUUCUCCCUCUCUGCGCAGUGCCUCUCCUUCGCAGGAGAGGUGCUGCGCAGAGAGGGAGAGCUGCGCAGUG
rnacentral:miRNA from 1 species